rnacentral:rRNA from 1 species
GACGAACGCUGGCGGCGUGCCUAAUACAUGCAAGUAGAACGCUGAAGGAGGAGCUUGCUUCUCUGGAUGAGUUGCGCACGGGUGAGUAACGCGUAGGUAACAUGCCUGGUAGCGGGGGAUAACUCUUGGAAACGAUAGCUAAUACCGCAUAAUAUUGACUAUUGCAUGAUAGUCAGUUGAAAGGUGCAACUGCACCACUACCAGAUGGACCUGCGUUGUAUUAGCUAGUUGGUGGUGUAACGGCUCACCAAGGCGACGAUACAUAGCCGACCUGAGAGGGUGAACGGCCACACCUGGACUGAGAAACGGGCCAGACUCCUUCGGGAGGCAGCAGUAGGGAAUCUUCGGCAAUGGACGGAAGUCUGACCGAGCAACGCCGCGUGAGGGAAGAAGGGUUUCGGAUCGUAAAGCUCUGUUGUAAGAGAAGAACGAGUUUGAGAGUGGAAAGCUCACACUGUGACGGUAUCUAACCAGAAAGGGACGGCUAACUACGUG